GAAUCGAAAUCAAUCUACGAUCAAACGCUUUUAGAUGAAAUUAUGAAAUUAUGGAAGAACCAUCUGAGUUCGAAGAGUAUCAUGAAUUAGAAACAGAUUUAUACGACUAUUUAACUAAGGAAGAUUUCGACGAAGCUCUCGCUAAGUACAGUGGUAGAACGUGGUUCGUCUGUUGGAUAUUUAUACUGUCUUUCACAGCGACGAUACUAAAUGGUUUCCACGUGAUGUCCUACGUCUUCUACAGCGUUUCACCGAAGCACUGGUGCUCGAUUCCAGUGUUGGAGGAAGCGAAUUGGACGCCCGAGCAAAUACAAGCUGUAUCCAGUCCCAGGUGGUUGAUAAUCCGUACUAAUGCCAAUAGGAUCGAAUUAGAUAUAUGUCUCGUACUGAUUCACAAUCGAGAAAGAGAGAGGGAUGGUGGGGGUGAGGAGGAGGAGAGGGAUGGACAAAGCAACACGAGGAACGACGUAUUCAUUAAACUUGACAAAUUGCAUCGUGAUGGGAACGUAGUGGUAUCGAUCACAAUGCCGAGCCCAGCCCUCUUUUAUUCUUACCAUCGUUGUACGUACAAAAUUUUGCGACGUCCAUAGAAUGAUAAAUGAUACCCUCGUGCUAGGAACGAACGAUCGACGAUGUAAAACACAAGAUACGUCUGGGCAUAAUUCUAUAUUCGCGCUACCAUAAGCGUAAAUAAAUUAUCACGUGUGUAUGAAUGAUCGAAUGAACUCCAGACGAAUUUUCCAACUGCGAGUAUUACGAUUGGAAUUACAAAGAACUACGAGAUAUGGGUUAUGAAAGUGCUCUGCAGAAAGUCAAAGCCGAUGAAAAGCCUGAUACCAU